CUGAACGCGCCCGAUCUCGUCUGAUCUCGGAAGCUAAAAAG
ensembl:rRNA 5S_rRNA 5S ribosomal RNA